rnacentral:rRNA from 1 species
GCACAAGCGGUGGAUGAUGUGGAUUAAUCGAUGCAACGCGAAAACCUUACCUACCCUUGACAUGUCCGGAAUCCCGAAGAGAUUGGGAGUGCUCGCAAGAGAACCGGAACACAGGUGCUGCAUGGCUGUCGUCAGCUCGUGUCGUGAGAUGUUGGGUUAAGUCCCGCAACGAGCGCAACCCUUAUCAUUAGUUGCUACGCAAGGGCACUCUAAUGAGACUGCCGGUGACAAACCGGAGGAAGGUGGGGAUGACGUCAAGUCCUCAUGGCCCUUAUGGGUAGGGCUUCACACGUCAUACAAUGGUCGGUACAGAGGGUUGCCAAGCCGCGAGGCGGAGCCAAUCCCACAAAGCCGAUCGUAGUCCGGAUUGUUCUCUGCAACUCGAGAGCAUGAAGUCGGAAUCGCUAGUAAUCGCAGGUCAGCAUACUGCGGUGAAUACGUUCCCGGGUCUU